UUCAGGAUCUCUGAGUGAUCUCACAAUAGUCUCUAUGUCAGGUCUGUACAUGGCCAGUCCUGUUUCAGGGACAAGUAAACUAAGAAGACAGGUAAAAUGCAUCCCUCACCCGCAGUGUGCAGUGGUAGAACAGGAUCAAGACAAUGUGAGGAAACACUUCCACAGUGGGAUUCCAGCAGCACUUUGCUAUGGUCUAUGGUCACCACCACCAUCACUGGAAUCAUCAUCACC
rnacentral:lncRNA from 10 species